rnacentral:rRNA from 1 species
GAUGAACGCUGGCGGCGUGCUUAACACAUGCAAGUCGAACGAUGAAGCCCAGCUGGCUGGGUGGAUUAGUGGCGAACGGGUGAGUAACACGAGAGUAACCUGCCCUUAACUCUGGGAUAAGCCUGGGAAACUGGGUCUAAUACCGGAUAGGAGCGUCCACCCCAUGGUGGGUGUUGGAAAGAUUUAUCGGUUUUGGAUGGACUCGCGGCCUAUCAGCUUGUUGGUGAGGUAAUGGCUCACCAAGGCGACGACGGGUAGCCGGCCUGAGAGGGUGACCGGCCACACUGGGACUGAGACACGGCCCAGACUCCUACGGGAGGCAGCAGUGGGGAAUAGUGCACAAUGGGCGCAAGCCUGAUGCAGCGACGCCGCGUGAGGGAUGACGGCCUUCGGGUUGUAAACCUCUUUCAGUAGGGAAGAAGCGAAAGUGACGGUACCUGCAUAAGAAGCACCGGCUAACUACGUG